GAUGAACGCUGGCGGCGUGCCUAACACAUGCAAGUCGAGCGAUUCUCUUCGGAGAAGAGCGGCGGACGGGUGAGUAACGCGUGGGUAACCUGCCCUGUACACACGGAUAACAUACCGAAAGGUAUGCUAAUACGAGAUAAUAUGCUUUUGUCGCAUGGUAGAAGUAUCAAAGCUCCGGCGGUACAGGAUGGACCCGCGUCUGAUUAGCUAGUUGGUAAGGUAACGGCUUACCAAGGCGACGAUCAGUAGCCGACCUGAGAGGGUGAUCGGCCACAUUGGAACUGAGACACGGUCCAAACUCCUACGGGAGGCAGCAGUGGGGAAUAUUGCACAAUGGGCGAAAGCCUGAUGCAGCAACGCCGCGUGAGCGAUGAAGCAUUUCGGCGUGUAAACCUCUUUUGCCAAGACAUCGAGUCUUGGAGAAUGAGCAUCUACUAACUACGUGCCAGCAGCCGCAGUAA
rnacentral:rRNA from 1 species